GCUGGAGUUACAGGUGUUUGCAAGCUGCUAGCCAGACAUGGGUGCUAGAAACCUAACUCAGGUUCUCUAGAAGAGCAAAAGAUGCUAACACCCUAAGCCAUCAUUCCAGCCUCAAGACCCUAUCAUAAAAACAAAAACAAAAUUAAGUACAGAAAAAAGAGACCUAGAAUUGGGCCCAUUCAUUUCUGGUCCUGUCAUUAUCCUCACGGACUUGCUCUAGUCCCACAACCGUUAGGUAUCACAAAGCAUCAGCAUCUCUAGGUCAAAGGUUCUGCUCUUGGGUUGCAUUGUUUGGUUGGUUUGAAUCUGAUUUGUUUGUUGUCUUUUUUUUUUCCUUUUUUUGAGACAGUGUCUUGCUAGGUAGCCUUGGCUGGCCUGAAACUUGCUGUGUAGACCAAGCCAGCCUGGAACUCACAGAGAUCCACCUGCUUCUGUUUCUGGAGUGCUGGAGUUAAAGGUGUGCACUGCUAUAUCCAGCAAAAUGUUUUCUUUUUUAAAAAGAUUUUGUUGUUAUUUUUUUAGAUUUAUUUAUUUUAUUUUAUGUGUAUGAGUGUUGCCUGUAUAUAUGUAUGUGUGUACCAUGAGAGUGUCUGAUGCCCAUGGAGGUCAGAAAAAGGAGCUGGAGCCCCUGGAACUGGAGUUAUGGAUAGUUGUAAGCUAGCAUGUGGGUCCUGAAACCCGAACCCAGGUCCUCUGCAAGAGUAACAAGUGCUCUUAACUAUUAAAUCAGCUCUCCAGCCCAGAUUUUAUUUUUAUGUAUAUGUCUGUAUACAUCAGAUCCCCUGGAGCAGAAGUUACAGGCAGCUAUCAACUAUGGGUCAUGUGUGCUAGGAACUUAACUCAAGUCCUCUGCAAGAAUAAUACAUGCUCUUAAGCACUGAGCUAUCUCUCCAGCCCCCAGGUUGCUUUUAUGUUCGUUUUGUUUUGUUUUGUUUUGUUUUGUUUUGUUUUGUUUUGUUUUGUUUUGUUUGAGACAGGGUCUCUCCAUGUAGUCCUGGCUGUCCUGAAACUUGCUAAGUAGACCAAACUGGUCUUGAACAUAUAGAGAUCUGCCUGAGUGCUGGGAUUAAAGAUGUGUACCAUCAUGCCCGGUCCUAGGUUGCUUUUCUUUUUAAAUAUAGAAAGAAAGAAGCUGAUUAGGAACGACCAAUGGUUGCCAAAUAUCUACUAUGUAACAAGUGUGCUAUGACCAUCUUCAAAAUGUGACUCCUGAAUAAAGACCAAGCUGUGUUCUUUCAUGGUCUGUGUGCUGCAAUCCUUCUGAGGAUGACAAAAUGGAAACAAGACUAGGAGAAAGCCAAGGAGUGACAUAGGCGUGGUCAGGAGAUGCUUUGACUACCCUGAAAACUCCCACCAGUAGCUGCCAAAUGAAAUGACUGUGCUGUGUCCUUCACCCUCUGAGGGCCUGGAUGGUGACAUUGCUUAGGUCCAUUCUGUCUGUAUUGUUGUGUUUAACCUUUAGUUGCCACUUUUAAGAUAUUUUCAAUGGGGCCUCUCAUAAUAAAGAGACUCUAAAUUAGG
rnacentral:lncRNA from 1 species